rnacentral:rRNA from 1 species
UACGAAGGGGGCUAGCGUUGCUCGGAAUUACUGGGCGUAAAGGGCGCGUAGGCGGCUCUGUUAGUCAGGUGUGAAAGUCCUGGGCUCAACCUGGGAACUGCGCUUGAUACGGCAGAGCUAGAGGAUGGAAGAGGCUCGCGGAAUUCCCAGUGUAGAGGUGAAAUUCGUAGAUAUUGGGAAGAACACCGGUGGCGAAGGCGGCGAGCUGGUCCAUUACUGACGCUGAGGCGCGACAGCGUGGGGAGCAAACAGG